rnacentral:rRNA from 1 species
UACAGAGGGGCAAGCGUUAUUCGGAAUUAUUGGGCGUAAAGGGCGCGUAGGCGGCUUGGCAAGUGGAUGGUGAAAUCCCUCGGCUUAACCGAGGAACUGCCGUCCAAACUGCUUCGCUUGAGACCGGGAGAGGUGAGUGGAAUUCCCAGUGUAGCGGUGAAAUGCGUAGAUAUUGGGAGGAACACCAGUGGCGAAGGCGGCUCACUGGACCGGUACUGGACGCUGAUGCGCGAAAGCGUGGGGAGCAAACGGG